rnacentral:rRNA from 1 species
GACGAACGCUGGCGGCGUGCCUAAUACAUGCAAGUUGAGCGCUGAAGGUUGGUACUUGUACCAACUGGAUGAGCAGCGAACGGGUGAGUAACGCGUGGGGAAUCUGCCUUUGAGCGGGGGACAACAUUUGGAAACGAAUGCUAAUACCGCAUAAAAACUUUAAACACAAGUUUUAAGUUUGAAAGAUGCAAUUGCAUCACUCAAAGAUGAUCCCGCGUUGUAUUAGCUAGUUGGUGAGGUAAAGGCUCACCAAGGCGAUGAUACGUAGCCGACCUGAGAGGGAGAUCGGCCACAUGGGGACUGAGACACGGCCCAAACUCCUAAGGGAGGAAGCAGUAGGGAAUCUUCGGUAAUGGACGAAAGUCUGACCGAGCAACGCCGCGUGAGUGAAGAAGGUUUUCGGAUCGUAAAACUCUGUUGGUAGAGAAGAACGUUGGUGAGAGUGGAAAGCUCAUCAAGUGACGGUAACUACCCAGAAAGGGACGGCUAACUACGUGC